AUUGAACGCUGGCGGCAGGCUUAACACAUGCCAGUCGAGCGAGCGGCGGACGGGUGAGUAAUGUCUGGGAAACUGCCUGAUGGAGGGGGAUAACUACUGGAAACGGUAGCUAAUACCGCAUACCAUCAGAUGUGCCCAGAUGGGAUUAGCUCGUGGGUGGGGUAAUGGCUCACCUAGGCGACGAUCCCUAGCUGGUCUGAGAGGAUGACCAGCCACACGGGAACUGGGCCACGGUCCAGACUCCUACGGGAGGCGGCAGUGGGGAAUUGUGCACAAUGGGCGCAAGCCUGCUGCCGCCAUGCCGCGUGUGUGAAGAAGGCCUUCGGGUUGUAAAGCACUUUCAGCGAGGAGGCGUUACUCGCAGAAGAAGCACCGGCUAACUCCGUGCCAGCAGCCGCGGUAAUAC
rnacentral:rRNA from 1 species